UUUGCCCUUGCCUCUCCAAAAAGAACCUAUACAAAAUUCUCUUGUAUCGGCGAUUUUUUAGUCUUCACGCACAGUCACUAAGCAUCUCUCAGCUCUAUCCACACGAACACAGUUCAGUUGAAUUGAAUCGAAUCUUCUUCUUCCACCAAAACCCUACAUUUCAUUACAAUCCAUUGAUUUCACCAAUAACCAUGUUCAAAGCAUUGCUACACCCCAAUGAUUCCGCCAUAUCAACAACCUCAAGAAUACUCUGCAACUUGCAUUUCCCAUUUGCUCACAAAUUCCUCACCACAACCACCACCACUUCACCCUCAUUCGCUGUCUCCUACUUCAUCAACAACCUCAAAUUCUCAUCAGAAUCCGCUCUCAAAGCCUCCAAACUCGUCCAUUUCAAAACCUCAAAAAAACCCGACUCAGUCCUCAGCUUCUUCAGAACCCACGGUUUCGCCGAUUCAGAUAUACACAAAAUCAUCCAAAGGGAGCCCUGGCUUCUUUCCUGCAACACCCAGAAAAGGGUUCUCCCAAAGUUUCAAUUUUUACUCUCCAAAGGCGCUUCUACCUCUGAUAUCGUCCGCAUCGUUGUAGGUAACCCUAGAUUCAUGAAAUCCAGCUUGAAUAAUCGUGUUAUCCCUGUUUAUAAUUUGGUAACUCAAUAUCUUCAAUCCGAUGAAAAGACUAUUGCUUCAGUAAUUUCAUGUCCUUCUUUGCUUUGUAGUGAUUAUCUUGCUCCUAAUGUCAAUAUGAUGGUUGAGAAUGGUGUUUGCUAUUCUAGCAUUUAUAGGAUUCUUCGUACUAGACCGAAUGUUAUCUUUUGUAGACCUAGAGAGUUGAAGGAGACGGUGGAGGAAUUGAAAAACAUGGGAUUUGAUCCUUCUAAAUCGUAUUUCGGUGAUGCAUUGCUCGGGAAAAUAGGUUUAAGUAAAUCAAAAUGGAAUGAGAGAAUUGAGACCUUCAAGAGUUGGGGUUGGUCUGAGGAAACUGUUUUGGAAGCUAUUAAGAGGCAGCCGAAAUGUAUGUUAGCGUCGAACGAUAAAAUCAAUAGGGUGAUGAGUUUUUGGGUUAAUGAGAUGGAUUGGGAUUCUUCUUAUCUAGUCAAGGGACCAGGGAUGUUUGGUUAUUGUUUGGAGAAAAGGAUCAUUCCAAGAGCUAUGGUUAUUUUUUAUCUUCUAGCUAAGGGUUUGAGAAGCGAAAAGGCUAGCUUGCUUUCUCCGUUUUAUAUGUCUGAGAAAUUGUUUUUGGAAAAAUAUGUGUUACGUUUUAGAGAGGAGGAAACUUCUCAUCUAUUGAAGUUAUAUCAUGGAAUGAUGAAGCUGGGAGAUAAGAAGGCAAGGGACAUAGAAGAGUCAUGAUCAUGAUAAGUUACAUUUGUAAAAUGUUUGAUUGUAGAAAAGUGCUUCACUUUACUGGUAUUUGACAUUGAUUUAUGGAAAUGCUUUCUGUUGGAACCUCUUGUCACAAGCAAUUUCAGAUUGAUCAACAUGGACAACUAAAGACUUAUUGUAUACGAUAUCAGGGACGACAAUUUGUGUUAUCACUUUAUGCUGGAUGGAACUCUUUAGAAAUUGUUCUGACCGACCUCAAGUCUAAUCUUUCCAAGUAAUAUGGGGUUUUAAGGUGUACUGAGAUUGUUGCCCUCCGGUCGAGGCUAAGAGACACCGUGUGUUUGUGAACCCUGAGCAUGUUUAUCCCUCCUUCUAGUGUCAAUGUUCUGGUCGACUUCAAAUCUGCUGACCACUAUGGCUAUGAGGUAUUGUUCGCUUUGAGAGUGAAAACUCGUCACGGUUUUGUCUUUUGGAAAACACACUUCAUUGGGUUUAAGAGUGUCUGUGUUGUAUAUAAAAUAUUUUUAUCCUCAAUUCUCAAACAAUGUGAGACUUUAAGGUAUAUUAGAGUAGUUGCAAUGGCCUCUGUAUAUUAGAAUAGUUGCAAGGGCCUCAAUUGUGAAGCUUGUGAUUAUAUUCUUUGAAAAAAUGUGAUGCUUUUUUAUUUUAUUUUUAUGAAAUACAUUGCGAGUGUGAUGUUUUAAGCGGGAAACAUCUCCAAAAUCGAAGAUUUCUCAAAGCAACAUUUUCUUGCUUUGGUCGAAAUCAUGUUUGGUGUUGAUAUAUAGGAAUCUAAAACAAAUGAGCUAUUAGAUUAUUGUAUUUAGAAAUAUCUUCCUAAGAAAAGAUUACUCACUCAUGUCCUUAACAGUUAGGGAAUACAAACGAGGAACUUGUGAAUGUUGAUUGUCGGAUCCUCUCAUCCACCAUAAUUGUGUACUUAGACUCUUGUUUGCCGCCUUUGGUGGUGGAGAACCUUUUUUGUUGGAGAACAUAAGUUGGUUGUUAAUUUCCUUAGGUUAAUUCAGAGAUUUAUCCUCUCUUCAGAAAGAGACCGAUGGUGGUGGCGACAUGAGAAAGAAGCAAUUUACUUGGUUGCGUUAGCUUGCAAUGCCCCCCUUAAUGCUAGUUUGGGUGUCGCUAUCCCUAUUAAUAAAGUGAUAUUAGCACGCCCUUAAUUUUGGAUAGGUAGAACCAUUCUAAGUGGUUGUUUUUUCUUGUCAACACUUCUAGGGUAAGAUCUUACUAUUGCCAACUAAAUCCUUAUUAUUGCCAACUUGUUCAAGUGUCGAGUCUUACCUGAUCUCGAUGGUAUUUCUUAUGAGUUGUGUGAUGGGUCUAUAUAGUCGGUGUAAUUUAUAAGAUGGUAGCUCCGAACUUCGGUGUGGUAUAUAAUUUUUAGGUGGCUUGAGUAAACUUUUGUUCUUUCUAUUGAUCUUCCAUCAAGU